UACGUAGGGACCAAGCGUUGUUCGGAUUUACUGGGCGUAAAGGGCGCGUAGGCGGCCAGCACAAGUCAGUUGUGAAAUCUCCGAGCUUAACUCGGAACGGUCAACUGAUACUGUGCGGCUAGAGUGCGGAAGGGGCAACUGGAAUUCUUGGUGUAGCGGUGAAAUGCGUAGAUAUCAAGAGGAACACCUGCGGCGAAGGCGGGUUGCUGGGCCGACACUGACGCUGAGGCGCGAAAGCCAGGGGAGCGAACGGG
rnacentral:rRNA from 1 species